rnacentral:rRNA from 1 species
CAGCAGCCGCGGUAAUACGUAGGUGGCAAGCGUUGUCCGGAAUUAUUGGGCGUAAAGGGCUCGCAGGCGGUUUCUUAAGUCUGAUGUGAAAGCCCCCGGCUCAACCGGGGAGGGUCAUUGGAAACUGGGAAACUUGAGUGCAGAAGAGGAGAAUGGAAUUCCACGUGUAGCGGUGAAAUGCGUAGAGAUGUGGAGGAACACCAGUGGCGAAGGCGACUCUCUGGUCUGUAACUGACGCUGAGGAGCGAAAGUGUGGGGAGCGAACAGGAUUAGAUACCCGAGUAGUCCCUGUCUCUUAUAC